UCGCGCACAGAGAAAAGGAUAAAGGCUAUGAGAUCGGUUGAAUGGUGGACGGGAGGAAGGGGGGAGUGAAAGAGGAAAAGACCGAUCGGAGAUUAAGAGCAAUUCGUGGGCAAGGAAUCGAUUGGAGGAGGCUGUCAUUGCACUCGGAAUGUGUCUCGCCUUGUAUCCGUUUCAUCGGCGGGGUUCGGGAUCGUAAAACGUGAAAUGGCCUAUUCGUACCACUUCCUCGAGAUAUUUGAUUCGUCGUUAAAGGAUUCGAAAGAUUUUACUUCGCGAAAACCACUUUCGUUUGAUUCAUCCGGCGAACGUCGAGUCGAUUGCUUCAUAUUCAGGGAUAGUUGAAUGACUACAUAUGUGCUACGAAAAAUAAAUAUAUAUAUAUAUAUAUAUAUAUAUAUAUAUAUAUAUAUAUAUAUACACACACACACACACGCGCGUAUAUAUGUUUAUAUAUAAAGCUAGAUAUGAUGAUAGAUCUCGUUCGUGCGAAUCAAAGAUCUUUAAGAGAAACGAUUCGUAUCCCGUUGUUAGUCAUAAAGUUCGAUGCACCGAAUCUUUGAAAAUCCCGAUAGAAUAUCUACGGGGGUUAUAUUUCAUCUUAUAAUCUCAUUACUUUGCGUAAAAUCAUAUCUUUCGAUAAUAUGACAGAUCACCGUCGGCCAAUAACGAUGACGACGUCAUUUUAUCCGAUAACAUUCGGUCCAUCAUUCCUUUCUCUGCUAUAUUAAUUAGGAUAACUUUGAUCAUAAAUUGCUUAUUGAAACAUAAUGUUUCAUCGUUCUCGCGUAAUAUUAAGCGAAACGGAAACAAAUUUUCUUUUUUUUCCCUUUUUUCUCCUUUCCUUUCCUGCGACAACUAAAAUAGGACAUUGUUAAAACGUAAGCUCUUUUAUUUCGAUUGAACUCGUUCAAAUGAAAUUCCACUUGACUACUCUUAAAAUAAUCGGAUAAAAUUUUGCGAGAAACGUUGUUCGUUUUCCUUUGACAAAAUUAGAUAGACAGAUAGAGAUAGAGACAGAGAGAGGGAGAGAGAGGGAUUCUCUUUCAUUAAGUUUAAUCGUAAUUACCGACGUCAAAAUUAUCCAUACGAAACGCAAACGAGGACAAAUAUUUACGUGCAUUUGUAUUCUUGGACGGAUUUGCAUCUCGUUUUGCUAUCCUAUCAUCCUAUUUUAACCGAGGAAAGAAAAAGAUUCCGCGCGCGCGCGCCUAUAUGUGUGUAUCCGUGUGCGCGAGGGAAACGAAAGGAAGAAGGAUAGAGAGAGAGAGAGAGAGAGAGAGAGAGAGAGAGAGAGAGAGGGAGAGAGAGAGAGAGAGAGAGAGACAGAGAGAGAAGAGGGAAUUUACUUUGCGUGAAAGCUCGAGUCCCAGUAGGGUAAAGUUCAAAGGAGAUAGCCUCUCGAUGGAAGAAGACCGCGUCACUCUCUCUCUCUCUCUCUCUCUCUCUCUCUUUAUCUAUCUCUCACCCUCUUUCUCUCUUUCUAUAUCUUUCUUUCUCUAUCGAAUUCCAGAGUCGUUUGAACCAUAGUAAAUAUAGAUUUGGAGGAAGACAGUGUG